AGUUAGCUGAUGAGUUCCAAAUAAGAGGAAAUGACCAUCCUAGAU
rnacentral:hammerhead_ribozyme from 1 species